GAUGAACGCUGGCGGCGUGCCUAAUACAUGCAAGUCGAGCGAACAGACGAGGAGCUUGCUCCUCUGACGUUAGCGGCGGACGGGUGAGUAAAACGUGGAUAACCUACCUAUAAGACUGGGAUAACUUCGGGAAACCGGAGCUAAUACCGGAUAAUAUAUUGAACCGCAUGGUUCAAUAGUGAAAGACGGUUUUGCUGUCACUUAUAGAUGGAUCCGCGCCGCAUUAGCUAGUUGGUAAGGUAACGGCUUACCAAGGCAACGAUGCGUAGCCGACCUGAGAGGGUGAUCGACCACUCUGAAACUGAGACACGGUCCAGACUCCUACGCGAGGCAGCAGUAGGGAAUCUUCCGCAAUGGGCGAAAGCCUGACGGAGCAACGCCGCGUGAGUGAUGAAGGUCUUCGGAUCGUAAAACUCUGUUAUUAGGGAAGAACAAAUGUGUAAGUAACUAUGCACGUCUUGACGGUACCUAAUCAGAAAGCCACGGCUAACUACGUG
rnacentral:rRNA from 1 species